CCUACGGGGGGCAGCAGUGGGGAAUAUUGGACAAUGGGGGCAACCCUGAUCCAGCCAUGCCGCGUGUGUGAAGAAGGCCCUCGGGUUGUAAAGCACUUUCAGUGAGGAAGAACGCCUGGUGGUUAAUACCCAUCAGGAAAGACAUCACUCACAGAAGAAGCACCGGCUAACUCCGUGCCAGCAGCCGCGGUAAUACGGAGGGUGCGAGCGUUAAUCGGAAUUACUGGGCGUAAAGCGCGCCUAGGUGGCUUGAUAAGCCGGUUGUGAAAGCCCCGGGCUCAACCUGGGAACGGCAUCCGGAACUGUCAAGCUAGAGUGCAGGAGAGGAAGGUAGAAUUCCCGGUGUAGCGGUGAAAUGCGUAGAGAUCGGGAGGAAUACCAGUGGCGAAGGCGGCCUUCUGGACUGACACUGACACUGAGGUGCGAAAGCGUGGGUAGCAAACAGGAUUAGAUACCCCUGUAGUC
rnacentral:rRNA from 1 species